rnacentral:rRNA from 1 species
UGGUGGUCAGGUGGCGCAAGGGUAAAGGUCAGGUGGCUGUCUGGUUAGUUAGUACCUCAAGGGCGUAGCGGUGCCGGUGCCGGUGCCGGCGGCGCUGCUGCUGCUGCUUCUGGCGGCGCGGGGGCGGGGGAUGCCGGCGGUGCUCGGGCUGCGCAUGCCGCGGGGAGGGGGCAGGAUGCCGGCGGCGGGGCUGCUGCUGCGGCCACUACGGAUGCCGGCGGUGGGAGGGCGGCGGAUGCCGCGAGGAGGGGGCAGGAUGCCACGGGGCGGAGGGCGGAUGCCCCCGCCGGCGCUCCUGCUGAUGCCGCCGGCGCGGGGCCGUAUGCCACGGGGCCGGGGCCGGAUGCCACCUCCGGCGCUCCUGCUGAUGCCUGCGGUGCGCGGGCGCGGCCGCCCGAUGCCGCCACCACUGAUGCCCGCGGUGCGGGGACGAGGCCGGAUGCCGCCUCCGGCGCUGCUCCCGAUGCCGCGAGGCCGCAUGCCGUUGCACCACGUGCAGCGGGUGCUCAGGCCGCUGCUCUCCGGCGUCAUGCCCCCGCCGCCUAGGCCCCCGAUGCCGGUGCUCUGCGCGGGGGUGGUGCCGCCGCCCCGCCGGGGCCGCUGGUCCGUCGGCUGCAUGUCCUAGGAGACGUUCCGGCCGCUCCUGUCGAAGUCGGAGCGGCGGUCCCUGCCGUUCCAGACGGAGCAGGCGUGGCUAGCGCUGCUGCUGUGCGUCGUGACCUAGUUCCUGUACUUCAUGUCGUGUUCCCAGUUCCUACUCCUUCCGAUGGGACGGUACCGUGAGCAGUUGUUCCGGUCGCCUCUCCGAGAGUUCGUGAGGGAGCCGGUUAGAGUGGGACAAGCAGACUGGUCCAUGUUAGGUCUGUGGGACCUGCUCAGCCAGGAAACCUGGCUCUCGUCCCUGCAGCCCCGUCCGAUGGCGACGUAGUCCUACCACUUGUUGUAGAUGAACUUGAAACUACGUGAGGUACCGCUGUUCCUGGUACCGCCACACGCGCUACCUUGGUGGGAGUAAGACACCCUCACCUGACUCCCGCUGUUGGUCGCGACCUUCUAGCAACGGACCACUUACUACGUGUACGAUGUCAAACAACCAAGUUUGUCGCGCGCUAGAAUUAUUAUUCGUUCAUGACAUACAAAGACCUUAUUUUUCCUACCGCGGUUACACUCGCCAUACAGACAAAACAAACCCCUCAAUACAUAUACCUACUUGAACAUUACUACCUAAAUAAACCGGAUCUAAUACACACUACCUACGUACUUGUUUGGUCACGAAUAAUAAUACGUACGUAUAUGUACGGCACACUGUACAAACACUUGAUGUGACAUAUUAUCUUAACCAAAUAGGGUAGUAUAACGACAUUGCCUCUAGAUAGGUAUAUCAACACCGGCUAUAAGUUAAGCCGAGUUCCAUCGUAUACGAGGACGCACGGUUUUUACGAAAAUAUUUACCCUUUUUUAUACUUUUUAAGUCUGUACAUGUACAGUAAACGUUUAGAGAUGCCACUUUUGGGUUCGUAAAGCUGGUCAUGUUUUUGUUCAAGACACGAAUAAAAGACCGCGAAUUUGACAGAAAAAAGGGACUCCUUCGUAUUAACAAGGAAAAAACGUACUUUUAGCUGUCCUCGACAUACUUGUACAUGUUUUUUAGGAAAAUUUUUACCAAAGCGUAAACGAACUUAAACAAUUUUUUUUUCCAUAAUAGGAGGUCAAAGACCACUCUAGAAACUCCACGUCUGUGAAACUAGAACAGACCCUAGUCCCUGAGGAGAAAAGAACAUUUUUUCUUCACAACUUCCAGGGAGGUUUUGGUUUUUCUUUACAUGAGUUCCAGUUAAGGAUACAGCGAAGAGUACUUCAACUAUACUAAGCGACGAAAUAAAAGUAAGGUGAAAAGAGUAAGGUCGAAAUCGUUAUUAACAACCAUAGUACAGGACAGGUGAUCUCUCACAGACCGAGCGGGACCAUCAACGGACAACGGUAGACGGUUUAUUUAGCGUCAUUUAAACUACACUCUACGGUAUACGAUGUGCUUAAUACGGC